rnacentral:rRNA from 1 species
GAUGAACGCUGGCGGCGUGCCUAAUACAUGCAAGUCGAGCGAACAGACGAGGAGCUUGCUCCUCUGACGUUAGCGGCGGACGGGUGAGUAACACGUGGAUAACCUACCUAUAAGACUGGGAUAACUUCGGGAAACCGGAGCUAAUACCGGAUAAUAUAUUGAACCGCAUGGGUCAAUAGUGAAAGACGGUUUUGCUGUCACUUAUAGAUGGAUCCGCGCCGCAUUAGCUAGUUGGUAAGGUAACGGCUUACCAAGGCGACGAUGCGUAGCCGACCUGAGAGGGUGGUCGGCCACACUGGAACUGAGACACGGUCCAGACUCCUACGGGAGGCAGCAGUAGGGAAUCUUCCGCAAUGGGCGAAAGCCUGACGGAGCAACGCCGCGUGAGUGAUGAAGGUGUUCGGAUCGUAAAACUCUGUUAUUAGGGAAGAACAAAUGUGUAAGUAACUAUGCACGUCUUGACGGUAACUAAUCAGAAAGCCACGGCUAACUACGUG